AAACAAAAGAGAAUAACAACUCGUUAUUAUUGCUUUUGUACACAUGAAAUUCAGAGGCUGAUAAAAUACUGGAGAUGCUAAUUAAAAAUAAACAAGCUGUUUUUGAAAUUAAACUGAAAUCCAGGGAAUCUACGGUCCAGGAUUUCAAAUUUUAGUUUAUUCUUAUUUCUUUACAUAUUUUUAAAAAAUGUAUACAGAAGUUUAUAUUUGGUCUCUCAUUCAGAGAUAAAAAGUAAAAAAUUAGAAGCUGGGAUUUUAAGCCCCUCUGCUGGAACAGAACAGAACUUCCCUUUCCACAGCUCUGCAGAGUGACCUGCCCAUUGUCCAGACUGGAGGUCAGAGAGCAUUACAACCAGAGCAGCCAUUUUUGCCUUGGGUACAGCAAAAUAAAAUGUGAGUAGACCUACAAAGGCAACACAAUCCUUCAAAACUAACAGCUUAUUUUUAACGUUUUAGCUAUAGGAAAUUUGCUUAGAUAUUUAAGUAAAAGAAUAAUAGUUAUAUUUUUGUUAUAAGGUUUUAAAAUCAAGAAAAUCGCAAAAUUCUUACAUAAAUAAAUAAUUUUUCUUUAACUGAUUGUUCAAAUUUAAUAGAAAAUGACAUAAAAUGACUAAGACCUAACAGGCCCACACCCCCAGUUUAGGCCAACAUUCUGUUAUCCUCCCAUCGGCUGCUACACCAAACGAUGACCAGUCCUUCCCCAGGAGUUAUCUUAAAACAAUUCUCUGUUUUCCUAAAAAAAAAAAAAAGAAUGAAAAAAA